rnacentral:rRNA from 1 species
AAGAACCCCGGGAGGGGAGUGAAAUAGAACAUGAAACCUUAAGCUUACAAGCAGUAGGAGGACGACUUAUCGUUUGACUGCGUGCCUGUUGAAGAAUGAGCCGGCGACUUAUAGUUAGUGGCAGGUUAAGGUAGAGAAUACUGGAGCCACAGUGAAAGCGAGCUUUAAUAGAGCGUGUGUCACUAGUUAUAGACCCGAACCCGGAUGAUCUAACCAUGGCCAGGAUGAAGCCUAGGUAAUACUAUGUGGAGGUCCGAACCGACUGAUGUUGAAAAAUCAGCGGAUGAGUUGUGGUUAGGGGUGAAAUACCAAUCGAAUUCGGAGCUAGCUGGUUCUCCCCGAAAUGUGUUUAGGCGCAGCGGUUAAUAUUAUAGCUUAGAGGUAAAGCACUGUUUCGGUGCGGGCUGGUAAUUCGGUACCAAAUCGAGGCAAACUCUGAAUACUAAGUGAACAGUUAACCAGUAAGACUGUGGGGGAUAAGCUUCAUAGUCAAGAGGGAAACAGCCCAGAUCACCAGCUAAGGCCCCUAAGCGAUUGCUAAGUGGAAAAGGAUGUGGAGUUGCCCAGACAACCAGGAGGUUGGCUUAGAAGCAGCCAUCCUUUAAAGAAAGCGUAACAGCUCACUGAUUUAAAUUUUUUGCAAUGAAAAUGUAUAGGGGCUCAAAUUAUUUACCGAAACGAUAAAUUUAACAAAUAAGUUAAAUGGUAGCAGAACGUUCUGUAAAUCUAAAAAGAUUUAUGGUGACAUAAAUUGAAGAAAUCAGAAUUGAAAAUGUUGAUAUGAGUAGCGAUAAACAAUGUGAAAAACAUUGUCGCCUUAAGUUCAAGGUUUCCAAAGCAAGGCUAAUCCUCUUUGGGUAAAUCGGUCCCUAAAAAUAAAACGAAAGUUUUAAAAUUUGAUGGGUAAAUAAAUCUUUUUUAUAUUC